GACACCUUCACUGAUGGGAGCUGGAUGGUGAGCACUGAGCCACUGUCUGGCUUACUCAGUGCUGUACAUUGGAGGUGGCAUGUACAUUGGAGUUCAUUCAAAGGCGCUUCAUUGGCAUGAACCCUGAGAGAGAGAGAGAGAGAGAGAGAGAGACAAAAACGUCAAAAGGAAAAGUGACAUCUAAAACCGCAGGGCGACGUACAGGGAAACAGGUUGCAGUGAACCCGCGUGUUUCCACUCUACUCUGCAAGCUGAUGGACUACCAGUGCCAUUUCUAAAAUGCCACUCCUUGGAGCCUCUGGGUCGGGAUCUGGACCUGAAGUGCUCUCCAUUUCAUCCUUUUCUUGUUCAGCAGAUUAACGGAGACUCAGCUGUUGUGGCUGUGGCUUUUUGUAUUGUUUCAUUGUUGGCAUGUAGUUAAAAAGCAUAUGCACUUUCUGUAUUGUGAAGUACAAAAUUAACUUUUUAUUGUUUUUAAGACCAUGUUCUCAAUUGGUGUUGAUGACCUUUCUUUACCUCAGUGGCAGGGGACCAGGCCUUUAUUUGGGGUUAUUUUAGAGACAUGCAUUUAUUUCUACAUGUAUCGUAUGAGUUGUUGUUGGGUACAAGUAAUUCCAACCAACUCAGUGUUUUUUUUUAAUCUGACUUAUUUGAGACCAUUAUUCAAAUAUUCUCUUUGAUAUGGGAAUAUACUAUAUGUGAAUUUUUAAAAAAUCAUUUUUGCACUUGAAGGACUUCGUAAGACCAUUUUGAACAGUUAUGAAUGUAAGUUAUAUUUUUUUAAAUAAACCUUUUAAAUAAAAAUAAAUAAAGCAGUUUUACUGGUUUACCUUUGACAGGUAAGAUGAGCGUGUGUAACUUGAAAAUAAAGCUGCUGGUAAUUGUAGAACAUUUUAGAACAAACAGAAAUAAUGCUGCAUGUAUACAGUCUUGUAGUCUAAUUACAGAAGAGCCCUCUC